AUGGGGACAGGGAUCAGCAUGGC
rnacentral:miRNA from 1 species